UCUGAGGAAACCGAAUUUAGAACUAGGCUUCCCGAGGGGAAGGGGAAGGGGCCUGGGGUCGAGAGGCGGGACCUAAAGGGAAAGAGGCGGGGCCGGAGAAAUUGAAGCGGAGCGGAACUAAGGAAAUUACGUCGCGUGUGUGUCCCCCGAGUUCCUGGACCUUGUGACUUGAUGCUGCUGGUUAGUUACAAGAAGCUGGCACCAGAGGAAUAGAAGAAACCAUGACGCUGGGAUGGCAAGGCAUCCAGGGGUGCUACACCUGGGGUAUCAUGUCAGAGUGAGAACUUCUUCCUCAGAAUGCUAGGAAGCCAGCCAUCGGAGUCUUCACACAGAGUAUUGACAGGACAAUCUUUUCACAAAGAUUCCUCUGGAUGGAGCUUGGUGUGUGUGUUGAGGGGAGUCCCAAAGCAGUGGGCACAGUGCAGAAUGACAGGUGAUUGCAGCAGAGGGACUGAAGAGUUUCUGUCAAUGGAAUCAACUUGUAGAUUAACUCCAAACAAACAAAUAAACAAACAACAGACAAAACUCAAAGUCAGAGAAGGAUACUUUAACUGGAGGCAAAGUGCAGUGGCAUGAGUCCACCACCCUGGAACUCUAGAAGUGGAGGCUGUAGGAUUAGAAUCCAAAGUCAUCAAUGGCUACAUGUCAAUCAAGUUUGAAACAACCCAGGCUACAUGAGAUCCUGCCGAAGAAGGAAGAGGAUGAGGAGGAGGAGGAGGAGGAAGAAGAA